GAGGUUGCCUCCGUCUCUACGCCCACCACUCAGCAGUUCACUGAGCCAGAGCCUGAGGGCCACAACUGCUAUGAGGGCUGGGAGGAGGACCUGCUGCCUGAGGAGAGGGAGGUUCCUCUGCUAAACCUCUACCUUACCACCAAGAGAGUGGAGGACAUCGGCCUGAGGCUCGUCUCCCUGCGCCAGGCCUUUACUGACGAGGCCGAAUUCAUCCGUGCCUAUAACGACUUUGUGGACUACCUGAGUGACCCCUCCGAAGCAGAUUGACAUUGAGAGGGAGCUGGCUGAGGCAAAGAUCCAUCAUGUUAACCUGAUAGAUGUCCUUUUUGAGCUGGUGCUGUUUGGGAUGAUGACAGCUCAGAAAUCCCUGAUGGUGCAACCUGGUGGGUUCAUGGAGCG